rnacentral:pre_miRNA from 7 species
UCUCCGGGUUCCUGGGUGUCACGCAGAUCUCGGUGGGACCUCCAAAUGAUAGAACCUAGCAGGAAAACCCCCACUCAAUUCUCGAUUCAGCGGGCACCCAAAGAAUCACGAAAAGGC